rnacentral:rRNA from 1 species
AGAGUUUGAUCAUGGCUCAGGACGAACGCUGGCGGCGUGCUUAACACAUGCAAGUCGAGGGCGGUAGCAAUACCGACCGGCGAACGGGUGCGUAACACGUAAGCGACCUACCGAUUCGUGGGGGAUAGCCGGCCCAACGGCCGGGUAAUACCGCAUACGCUCAUUGGGCUGCAUGGCCUGGUGAGGAAACCUCCGGGGCG